UACGUAGGGUGCGAGCGUUCAUCGGAAUUACUGGGCGUAAAGCGUGCGCAGGCGGUUUUGUAAGCCAGAUGUGAAAUCCCCGGGCUUAACCUGGGAAUGGCAUUUGGGACUGCAAGGCUGGAGUAUGGCAGAGGGGACUAGAAUUCCUGGUGUAGCAGUGAAAUGCGUAGAUAUCAGGAGGAAUACCGAUGGCGAAGGCAGGUCCCUGGGCCAAUACUGACGCUCAUGCACGAAAGCGUGGGGAGCAAACAGG
rnacentral:rRNA from 1 species